CCCGGCGCCGAUUGGCAGCGGGCGGGUGACGUGCGCGCGCCCGGGGGAUGCCGAGGGGGCGCGGGCGGCCGCGGGGACUGACGGGUAUCGAGGCCCGCCUCGAAAUCUCGAUGCUGGAGAGGGCUCUUGCGGUGGGCCUUUUACGUCUGUAGACGCUGGAGGUCCGCAGAAAGGAUACUGUGUCGGAGGAGGUAAAGCACAAGAGAGUGCUUUGUAACCGGGAAGUGCCUUUCAAAAGAGCUUACUUUUGGUUUGGUGGAAGAAGGACCCUGGAGCUUGUUGAUGCUGAAAAUGUUCAUCUCAGACGUCCUUGUCCUUGAGCCUGUUCUCUUGGGGAGAUGGCUGAGCACCUCCUGAUUUGCUCCUGCUACCUGGUAGAGACGGAACACCUGAUCAUGGGACAUCAAGUGACCAUGUGAAUAAUAAAACCACCCAUCAUGAACUGGUGUUAUCUGAUUCACCGAACCAUACAACUGGAUGAGCACAGAAGCAGUCUACUCCCUAUGAGACUGGGACAUGGCUACAAUUAAACUAAAUGAGCAGGUGACUCAGACUCCUAUAGUCCCUGACUCUACUCCUUCAGCACUUCCUCCCAAACCCAUAUAAAUUGGCUUCAUGAGGAGUUCUUUCUGACCAAUUAAUGGAAGAGAAAAAAGCAUGGGUCCUGUUUGUUCAUGGAAGAAUCUGCAGUGAGCUGGCAAUAGCUGGAUGUGAGUGGUCACUACACACCACCACCACUCAUUAGUGGCCCUGACCCAGAAUAGUAAAGGGAAAUCCUUCCAUAGGGAAGAAUUUUAGGAGACAUGGCCUGAGGUAAGGGUAUACACUGGUUUGUUGUCAGCGGCUUAUGAGUUGACAGGCUAGACAAAAACUUGGAGAGAACAAAUUGGAAAGCUGGUUCCAUUUAUGAGGCCAGCUGGGAUACAAUAACCUGCAAAUUGGGGAUGCUGACCUAAAGAAUUAAGUAUAUGCUUAAAAUCAGUAAUCAGUAUCUGGUGCCACCUUUCCCAAAAUGUAUGCAGAGUGGAGAUGAGAGUAGUCCCUCUAUUUUCAGUAUGACUAAUUUUGUAAAAAAAAAAACAAACAACUGGUGGCAUGUUUUCCAAACUUGGUGAAAAGCAUAAAACUACAAAUCCACAAAAGCUCAGUAAAUCACAAGCAGAAAAAUUGCAAUGAAAGUCACACCUAUGCAUGUUACAGUCAAACUGAUAAAACUAAUUCAGAAAAACACUUAAAAGCAUCCAGAGAAAUUAUACAUUAUACACAAGAUGGGAGUUAUAUGAAUUUUUUUAAAAGGAUGCAUAACAUAUAGAAAAAUGCACAAAUAUAAUUGUUCAGCAUGACUUGCCACAAAGUGAAGAUAACUAUGUAAUCACCACCCACAUCAAUAACUAUGUCCCUUAGUCAUUGCUCUUCUUCCUUCCCAAAGGUAAUCAUCAUCCUGAAUUCUAACACCAAAGAUUAGGUUUGACAGUGGUUAACCUUUAUAUAAAUUGAAUACAUGACAGUGGUUAACUUUUAUAUAAAUUGAAUAAUGUAUUCUUUAGUGUCUGGCUUUUAUUUAACGUUGUGAGAUUCAUCCAUGUUGUUACCUGGAGCAGUUGUUCAUUCAUUUUCAUUGCUAUACAGUAUUCUACUUUAUAAAUAUACCACAUUUAUUUAUCCAUUUUACUGUUGAUAAACAUCAGAGAUGUUUCCUUUUUUUUUUUUUUUUUGCGUUACGCGGGCCUCUCACUGUUGUGGCCUCUCCCGUUGUGGAGCACAGGCUCCAGACAGGCAGGCUCAGCGGCCGUGGCUCACGGGCCCAGCCGCUGCGCGGCAUGUGGGAUCUUCCUGGACCGGGGCACGAACCCGUGUCCCCUGCAUCGGCAGGCGGACUCUCAACCACUGCGCCACCAGGGAAGCCCCGAUGUUUCCAUUUUUGGGCUACUAGGAGGAGAGCUGCUGUGAACAUUGUUGUGUAUGUCUUUGGGUGUACAUACGUAUGCAUUUGUGUUGGGUUCUUUUAUUAUGCCUAAUAAACCACUUGAGGAAUUUUUUGGUCCCUGAAACUUCAGACUUAGUGGUUUUGGAGGUUUUAGUACUCAAGGGAGGAAUGCUUCCUAGGAAACAUGGUUUCAGUGAAUUAGAAGUGGACAGUGCUUGCUGGCAGGUUUGGGCUUUUUCUAUCACUAAUCAACAGAGAGAGGAGGGAGGGGAUCACUACUGCCAAGGGUGAAAGAUUCCUUUUAACAGGGGGAAAUUGGAUUGCUGCUACACAGUGGAGUAAGUAGGACUAUAUAUGGAAUGUAUGAUAUUCACCAAGAUUGCUUCUUAGUAUUUUCUUGGCUGAUAGUCCAAUAAGAAAACUAGAGAACCCAAAAAGGACCUCCACUAAGAUUCAUCUUAUACGAAUGAAUGUUUGGGUCGCCACACGUGGUAAAGAACUCCAUUCAAUUUAGGUGCAAGCUGAGUGGGAGAAACCUAGAAUGGGUGGUGAAAGAAAGCAGCUAUGCUUAUGAACCUAGUCCUCAUGACCAGCUAAAACACAGGUUUUAUGAAACUAUGAUUAUGUUUUGUUACUUGUUUCUUUUCUCCCCUACCAAGUAUGAAAAAUUCUGGGGUGGAUAAUGUUUUUGGCUUCCGAUGAGAGUAUGACUGAAUUGACACCCCAUGAUCACAUUGUAGCUGAUGGAAGGAGACUGUGGUGGAAAAGAGUGAGAUGAGCAUUUAUAUUCCUCCUGGCUCCUGCCAUUAGAGGUUGCCUUGAACUGGAUGUGUACCUUGACCAAAGGUCAUUGCCUCUCUCACGAUGAACUCUUCACAGUUCUCUCUCCUUCGAGACUGCUUAACUUCUUCUGUCUCUUGGAGAUUAAGGGAGGUAUAGUUCUCCUGCUGUUAGCCCUGGGUUACAGAACUAUCCUUGUAAUUCUCAUAUCCUAUACACAAAUUUGUAAUUAGUCCCUCUCUUUAAAAAAAAGAAACAAAACAGCUUCCUUAAAUGAUCUUGAGUGCGUCAUUUUUUUAAAAUUUAUUUUAUUUGGUUGUGCCGGGUCUUAGUUGUGGCAGGCAGGCUCCUUAGUUGUGGCAUGCGAACUCUUAGUUGCGGCAUGCAUGCGGGAUCUAGUCCCCUGACCAGAGAUAGAACCCCGCCCUCCUGCAUUGGGAGCGUGGAGUCUUAACCACUGUGCCACCAGGGAAGUCCCUUGAGUGUAUCAUUUGUUUCCUGUUAGGACUCUUGACACAUGAGUUUUUUAUCCUUGUAUUGCUUCUUGCCUAAAAUCUACUUCGAUAUUAGCAUAGCGACAGUCUUUGUUCGUUUUUGCAUAUUUUUCCACUUUAAACUUUCUGCAUUCUAAUAUUUAAGGGUUGUCUCUUGAAAACAGGUUAAAGGUGUAUCUUUAUAAAUCCAAGGCAACAGUCUUGACUUUUAAUUGGGGUAAUCAAUUUACACUUAAUGUAAUUACUGAUACAUCGGGCUUUAAAGCUGCUAUCCUACUGUUUCUUGUCUCCCCUGUUCUUCACUCUUUUUUCUCUACUUUCUUUAUCCUUUGGGAUAGAUCAGGUUUUUUUAUUCCACCUUUUCCUUUUGAUUGGCUUCUUAGCUAUAUGUUCUUUUACUAUUCUUUAAUUAAUUACUCUAGAAAUUAGAAUGUGCAUACUGGACAUCUAAAAGUCUAGUAUAUACUAGUACUUUAUCCACUUCCAAGACAGUGUGAACACCUUAGACCACUUUAUCCUCUCCUCUCAAUUUAUGUGGUGUUAAUGUUUUAAAUCUGUAUGUUUUUAACACCACAGUAUAUCAGCAUUGUUUUGUAAAAUUAAUAUUCAUUGAGAUUUACCCAUGUAUUUUCUUUUUCAUUGUUCUUCAUCCCUUUCAGAGCUUCCAUCUGAGAUCAUUUCUCUCUGCUCGAAGGCUGCUCUUUCCUCCAAGGCAGAGAUGCUGGUGACAAAUUCUCAUUUUCUGUUUGUUUGAAAAUACCUUUAUAUUGUCUUAACUUUUGAAAGUUAUAUUAUCUGAGUAUGAAUUCUAAGUUGGCAACAUUUUAUUUUAUUUUACUCUGAAGAUAGCACCAUUUGGUUGCAAAGCAGCUGUCUUAUUGUCAUUCAUUUGAUACAAUACUUUGUUUCUUACCUAUGGAUGCUCAACACUUCCUCUCUCUGGUUUUCAGCAGUUUUAAUAUGAAGUGCUUAGGUAUUGUUUUCUUUGCCUUUUCCUUAAGGUUUAUAGUGCUUCUUGAAUCUGAGGCAUGAUGCUUUUUGUUUGAGACAUCUCUUCCAGUAUCACUUUGUUACAGUCUCUCAUGCUUUUCCUUCUGGGUCUUAAUUAUACCUACAUUUGGGACUUCCCUGGUGGCGCAGUGGUUAAGAAUCCACCUGUCAAUGCAGGGGACACGGGUUUGAGCUCUGGUUCGGGAGGAUCCCACAUGCCGUGGAGCAGCUAAGCCUGUGCACCACAACUACUGAAGCCCAUGCGCCUAGAGCCCAUGCUCUGCAACAAGAGAAGCCACCGCAAUGGGAAGCCCAUGCACCACAACGAAGAGUAGCCCCUGCUCGCCGCAACUAGAAAAAGCCUGCAUGCAGCAACGAAGACCCAAUGCAGCCAAAAAUUUAAAAAAAAAAAAAAUUAAACCUACGUUAGACUUUUUUACUCUAUCUCUUCUACUUUUUAAAUUUUUUCCAUUUUUCAUCCUUUAAUCUCUUUGUUAAUCUGUGUGCAUAUUUUCUUCUGAAUUUUCUUCCAAUUCUCCAAUUUUGUCUUCAGCUCUGUGUAAUUGGCUAUUAAAUGCAUUCACUGGGUUUUUAAUUUGUUAUAUCUUUCAAUAAUAGAAUUCCAUUUGGUUUUGUUUCCAUUCUCUACAAUCAUUCUUAGUCCUAUAUUUUAAGUUCCUAAACAUAUUAAUCAUAGUAUAUAUGUUUUUUUUCUUUUAGCCACGCCACGUGGCUUGUGGAAUCUCAGUUCCCUGACCAGGGAUUGAACCCGAGCCACUGCAGUGAAAAAUGCCGAGCCCUAACCACUGGACUGCCAGGGAAUUCCCUAAUCGUAGUAUUUUGAAGUCUUCAUUUCAUAAUCCCUGUGGGUCCUGUUUCUGUGGUUGCUUCUCUGUCUUGUCAUAUCGUCUCAUACAGCUGAUUAUGGUUUUCUGUGUACAGGAUAUUACAUAUAAAAUAUUGUAUAGAUAUUUUGACGCUCUGGAUAGCAUUACUUUCUUUUAGAGAGGAUUUCUUUUACUUCAGUUAGGCAGCUAGGGCCAUUAGUACCCUCAGAUCACUACAAUCCAGUUGGGACCUGAGAUGAUUCAGUCCCUGCCAGUUCCAAUCUAUUUUCAGUUCACUCUGACUCCUAGGGUACAGCACAUUAGAAUCUCAACAGUAAGACUGAGGUGUUUAUCUCUUUCUUGGUGAGCCCAACUCUAGUUUUUCUCCCUUUCCACCCACACCUAGGCCUGUGAACUUGAAAAAGCUCUGUUCACCUUCUUAGCUGCUUUUGGAAGAGACAGAUGCCUCCAGCAGAGAUGCUACAAGCAUCUCCAACCUGUCUUCAUCUACUAGAACUUGGCCCUGAAAUCCUCACCAUUUUGGUAGCUUUCCAGUGCCUUUAAACAGAUGUAUUUUUUUUGUUUUGGCUCAGCUUUUCUAGUUGUUCUCAGCAGAAGCAUGAUCAAAACCAUCUAGUUCUUCGUUACCAGAAGUGGAACUGAAGAGGACUCUUUUUUUUUUAAACUGAGUACACGGGCCUCUCACUGUUGUGGCCUCUCCCGUUGCGGAGCACAGGCUCCGGACGCACAGGCUCAGCGGCCAUGGCUCACGGGCCUAGCUGCUCUGCGGCAUGUGGGAUCUUCCCGGACGGGGGCAUCGGCAGGGGGACUCUCAACCACUGCGCCACCAGGGAAGCCCAACUAAUUUGAUUUUUAUGCAAAUAAUAUGAAAAACGUUUGGUUGAGUUGGGUUCCAUAUUUCCUAUUCCAAGUGAAUUUGUAAACAUGCAUUUUGUAUAUUCAUAGUUUUAUAUUAAAUCUGGACCGUAGCAUUUAUAAUGUAAUUAAAUUAAUAAAAUGGCAUAAACUGUG